UAUGAGAGUUUGAUCCUGGCUCAGGAUGAACGCCGGCGGUGUGCCUAAUACAUGCAAGUCGAACGCGUUGGCCCAAUUGAUUGAUGGUGCUUGCACCUGAUUGAUUUUGGUCGCCAACGAGUGGCGGACGGGUGAGUAACACGUAGGUAACCUGCCCAGAAGCGGGGGACAACAUUUGGAAACAGAUGCUAAUACCGCAUAACAGCGUUGUUCGCAUGAACAACGCUUAAAAGAUGGCUUCUCGCUAUCACUUCUGGAUGGACCUGCGGUGCAUUAGCUUGUUGGUGGGGUAACGGCCUACCAAGGCGAUGAUGCAUAGCCGAGUUGAGAGACUGAUCGGCCACAAUGGGACUGAGACACGGCCCAUACUCCUACGGGAGGCAGCAGUAGGGAAUCUUCCACAAUGGGCGCAAGCCUGAUGGAGCAACACCGCGUGAGUGAAGAAGGGUUUCGGCUCGUAAAGCUCUGUUGUUAAAGAAGAACACGUAUGAGAGUAACUGUUCAUACGUUGACGGUAUUUAACCAGAAAGUCACGGCUAACUACGUGCCAGCAGCCGCGGUAAUACGUAGGUGGCAAGCGUUAUCCGGAUUUAUUGGGCGUAAAGAGAGUGCAGGCGGUUUUCUAAGUCUGAUGUGAAAGCCUUCGGCUUAACCGGAGAAGUGCAUCGGAAACUGGAUAACUUGAGUGCAGAAGAGGGUAGUGGAACUCCAUGUGUAGCGGUGGAAUGCGUAGAUAUAUGGAAGAACACCAGUGGCGAAGGCGGCUACCUGGUCUGCAACUGACGCUGAGACUCGAAAGCAUGGGUAGCGAACAGGAUUAGAUACCCUGGUAGUCCAUGCCGUAAACGAUGAGUGCUAGGUGUUGGAGGGUUUCCGCCCUUCAGUGCCGGAGCUAACGCAUUAAGCACUCCGCCUGGGGAGUACGACCGCAAGGUUGAAACUCAAAGGAAUUGACGGGGGCCCGCACAAGCGGUGGAGCAUGUGGUUUAAUUCGAAGCUACGCGAAGAACCUUACCAGGUCUUGACAUCUUGCGCCAACCCUAGAGAUAGGGCGUUUCCUUCGGGAACGCAAUGACAGGUGGUGCAUGGUCGUCGUCAGCUCGUGUCGUGAGAUGUUGGGUUAAGUCCCGCAACGAGCGCAACCCUUGUUACUAGUUGCCAGCAUUAAGUUGGGCACUCUAGUGAGACUGCCGGUGACAAACCGGAGGAAGGUGGGGACGACGUCAGAUCAUCAUGCCCCUUAUGACCUGGGCUACACACGUGCUACAAUGGACGGUACAACGAGUCGCGAACUCGCGAGGGCAAGCAAAUCUCUUAAAACCGUUCUCAGUUCGGACUGCAGGCUGCAACUCGCCUGCACGAAGUCGGAAUCGCUAGUAAUCGCGGAUCAGCAUGCCGCGGUGAAUACGUUCCCGGGCCUUGUACACACCGCCCGUCACACCAUGAGAGUUUGUAACACCCAAAGUCGGUGGGGUAACCUUUUAGGAGCCAGCCGCCUAAGGUGGGACAGAUGAUUAGGGUGAAGUCGUAACAAGGUAGCCGUAGGAGAACCUGCGGCUGGAUCACCUCCUUU
rnacentral:rRNA from 4 species